rnacentral:misc_RNA from 1 species
UUUCCGUAGGUGAACCUGCGGAAGGAUCAUUCAUAAUAAAGUGUUUUAUGGCACUUUUUAAAAAUCCAUAUCCACCUUGUGUGCAAUGUUAGAUCUCGUCAAUCUUGGCGAGAUUUUUAUACAUCAACUCAUUCUUUAACUAAUUUGUCUGAAAAAUAUUAUGAAUACUUAAUUCAAAAUACAACUUUCAACAACGGAUCUCUUGGCUCUCGCGUCGAUGAAGAACGCAG